rnacentral:lncRNA from 1 species
CUUUAUAAACACUCCCAAAUCCACCAACGCCCAAGAUCGAAUCUUGUCUGAAAUUCUCGGUGAUGUUCUUCAAUUCUUGGAAUGUGAAUGCUAUGAGUGGAUUUGCUGCAUCUCUUCUUAAGUCUUCUACUUCUUUGGGAUUAGUUGGUAAUUUACUUCCCUCCUCUUUUGUUUCUUCAUCCUUUUCUUUCUUGUCAGAACUGUUUUUCUUCACUUCUAGUAUAUAUAGCCAAAUACUGGAUUAGUUAGAGAAAUUAUUUGAAAACGUCGAAAAUUUGAAACAGGGAAAAAGGAACAGAAAGGAAACAGGUCUCACCAAGCUUUGUGGGUUUCUGCAGAAACCAACAAUUACCCAUCAACACCCAAAUACCUCAAGCCUCCUCAAGAAUCCAGAAAACUCACUAACUGAAAGUCUGAAACUAUACAGUUUUUC